UGGAUGAUACUAAAUGAAUAGACAAAUGAAAUAAAUACAGCGCACAUCACUGAUAGUCAGGAAAGUCUGCUGAAUCAAAUCAAAAGCCUGCAUCACGCUUUCUCCAAAUGUAACACCACCAUCUCUCCACACACCCCUUCCACCUUAUCGAAACAAUUGGUGAUUGCAGUAACCCUUUAUUUAUGUGCAGCACCAAAAAAGUAAAGUUUCCUGUGGUAGCUUGGCUUUUAAAGCAAUAUUCGGCAAUUGCCUUAGGUUGUUUAUUUGUGGUGAAUGGUCAUAUUAUUGCUAUUAAUAGUUCUGAAUAUUUAGCCUGCUGGAAUUUAACUACAGCUCUUCGUUUAUGUGUGUGUGGGGCCCCGGAAAUUGAGGAUUUGCCUCACUAUUUGUUUUCCUGCCCUCUGUAUUCUGAGCCAAGAACUAAAAUUCUGGGACUUAUUCUUUAUCCCCUCCUAAUGAAUACGGUGUCAGAAAGGAUUUUCUACCUUCUGUCCGACACUAACCCUGCAGUUACACAUAAGGUGGCCCUUUUUGCCCUGGCAGCUCAGAAAAUCCGGGCAAAACUGAUCUCCAAUGUCGUGGUUGACUGUGCUGGGGAUGCUUUUAACUAAUAGUGGUUUUUUAUAUCCAAGGUGUUCCCUGCUUGGGUUUUAAUAAUGCUGUACUGGCGUCCUUGGAGAGAGCAGGACCAAGAGGACGCCAGGAGUCUCGCCUCCCUCUCCCCCCUCUGCCUCUCUUAAGAAAGCAGGGGAGAGAACGAAGAGCGCCUUGUGUGCAGCCGUCCUCACAAAGCAGUGAGAGACGGAGCUCACACGAGAAGCUUACGAGAUCUACAAAUCAAUAGGACAUUUCCCAGAGGAAACAAAAGGGGAGAGAAGAAAAUUAAAAUAAGAGUGAGGGUUCAGAAGGAACAGGAACCUCAAAGAGCUAUCUACCAGGGACGGGGAGAUUGCCUAGGGAAUUGAAUAAAGAAACAAGGCUGCUAAUCUCCAGCGGAGUAAAGGAAGUCAAAAUCUUGAUCUUGACCUACUGGGACAACUUUAAAAACUAAAGCUAAUUAAGUUAAAACUAAUGAGGACUUGAAACUGUAUCGGAAGUAGAGUGUAAAGGGUGUUUGUUUUUUGUUUUUUGGUUUUUUUGGGGGGUUUUUUCCUUUCUAUUCUCUUCUUCUUCUCCUCCUCCUCUUCCCCUUUCUACUCUCUCCCUCCAGUGGAUUAUCCAGAAAAUAUAUCAAUUUUGUCAAAUACACUGGAAAAUUUAUAAACCAAUUAAAAAACUUUGACCUUCUAUUGGUGAAUAGAAAAUACUGUGGGAUUUAAAACACAGUUAAUAAACUCAAGACUCAAUUGCUUCCCCUCCCCUCCCUUCUUCUCUUCUUCCCCCCUUUUUUUUCUUUCUUUUUUUUCUUUCUUUCCAUUCUUAACCAAGCAUAGCCAGAGUCUUCCUUGAAUGAGAAACUUAUUAAAUAGAAUCAUCAGGAGUAAUAAUAAGAAAAUGGAUAGAGAAAGGGACUCAUCUGAUGGAAAAUUAUCAAGUAGAGCUUCACUCUCUGAUCAAAUUAGUCUGAGAGACAUUAUGCGGGAAUUGCAGAAAAUGCAAGAGACGCAAAGUAUGUAUCAAAAAAUCUCACAGGAACAACUAUUAGACUUUAAAAAUGAUAUGCAACAAGAACUAGGCACGAUGAAAAAAGAAAUCCAUAACAUCCAAUAAGAGAUCAAAGAGUUGAGACAAGAAAGAACGGAACUGAGAACAGAAUUGAAGACCAGCCUAGAACAAACAGAUUUAAAGGUGGAGAGCAUAAAGGUGAAAAAUGCCCAACUUGAGCAAAGACAAGACAGUCUAGAAACCAAAGAAUUAGAAUUCCAGUUAAGGUUCCGAAAUAUAGCAGAAGAGAAAAAUGAAAAUAUAAAACAGGUAAUUUCAGAAAUCACAGCCCAGAUUCUGGAUUGUUCACAACAAGAGGCGGAAGAUGGGCUAGACAAAACUUUCAGAAUAAGCACAAGAUACACAAAAAGGUUCAAUACCCCGAGAGAUACCAUUGUAAGAUUUGUAAAGAAAUCAACGAGAGACGAAAUAUUAAAAAGGCAUAGCGAGAAACCGACUAUAUACAAAGACAACAGUAUAGCGAUUCUGAAAGAACUACCCUACACUGUCUUACAGAAAAGGAAAAAGUAUAAUAACUUAACAAAGGAACUGAGGAAAAGUCAAAUCAGAUACAGGUGGGAACAAGAUGAAGGACUGACAAUUUUCUAUAAAGAACAAAGAUGGAAAAUUAAUACAGGAGAAAAAGCUAAUGACUUCCUUAGAAUACUAGAACAAAAUAGGAAAAAAGGAACAGAAUCAGACACAGGACAUAAAGAAAAGAAGAAAAGGCUCCGAUCUGGCUCACCAGAAAAGACAAACUUAGAACUAGACAUGGAACUGGAGCAACUCUUCACACAGAAGGAAACUGCACCUCAAAGCACAACAAAGCACUUAAGGGGGGAAGAUCCACGUCAAACACCAAAAAUCUUAGAUGGACAAAGUACUUAAAUGCCUAUCGAACAAUGUGAACGGGCUAAACUCACCUAAUAGAAGAAACAAAAUAUUCCACAAAAUCAAAAAAGGAAAUUAUGAUGUGGUGGCUAUCCAAGAAUCCCACAUUGCACGAAAACAUGCGAAUCACCUAAUUAGACCGGAGAUUGGGAAAGAAUUCUACUCGUCAGCAAAAGAGAAGAAGAGAGGAGUAGCAAUCUACAUUAAAGAAGGGAUUCCCUCGAAAUUAGCAUUUAAGGACAAAGAGGGCAGAAUGGUUGGAGUUCUGAUAGAUAUUCAAGAAACAAAAUUAUUAAUAUGCAGUAUUUACGCACCAAACAAUUCAAAAACAAAUUUCGCCAGAGAACUUAAAGAACAUCUCACAAAACAAGAAUUUGAUAACUUAAUCAUAUUAGGUGACUUCAAUGCAGUAGUAGACAGAACACAAGACAGAACCCAUACCUCAAAAUCGAAUAAAGAAAGUAAGGUUGGAAAUUUACCCCAGUUGUUAAAAAGUAUCCAGACAGAAUUUGACCUACAAGAUACAUGGCGAGUCCACCACGAAGGAGUAAAAGACUACACUUUUUAUUCGGCCAGACAAAAAUGCUGGUCGAGAAUAGAUAUGGCAUGGACAUCAAAAUCGCUAACAUCUAAAGUAAAAUCGAUAAAAAUCCUUCCCAGAUCAUUCUCAGAUCACUGCCCAAUUGAGUUAAUACUAAAUCACAGGAAGAAAACCCAAAGAUGGAGAUUGGAUGACAACUUAAUUAAAAAGACAGAGGAUAUAGCAAAAUUUAGAAAUUUAUUAACAGAAUACUUUGAAUUAAACUCCACACCAGACAUCACAGAGCAAACACUAUGGGAUGCGGGGAAAGCUGUAAUGCGGGGAUACUUUCUACAACAGUCAGCAUGGAAAAACAAGUUGAGAAAAGCAAAGGAAAAAGAGAUAGAAGGAAAAAUAAGAGAAGCAGAAGAAAGUUGGAAGAAAGACCCAGAAGAUAGCAAACUCAGAAAUCGCUUAGAAAUGUUGCAAAAGCAAAGAGACCUUUGGGAACAGGAAGAAAGAGCUAAACAAUUAAAGUACAUAAGACAAUACCACUUCUGCAACGCUAAUAAGCCAGGUAAAUGGCUAACGAGGAAACUGAGGAAAAGAAAAGAAAAGUCAUACAUAAACACUAUAAAAACUAAAGAAGCAACGGUCACAAAAGAUGAAGACAUAUUGAAUCAAUUUAGAAUUUUUUACAGUAACUUCUACAAACAAGAAAACAUAGAAGAGGACGAAAUUACAAAAUUUCUAGAAGAACAAAAUCUAAUCAGGACCACAGAAGAGCAAAAAAGAGAGCUCAAUAAAGAAAUUACAGCUCGAGAAAUCAAAAAUGCAAUCAAAGAUUUAAACCCGCAGAAAGCACCGGGCCCAGACGGACUGACAGCUGCACACUACAAAACAUUUGAGGAAAUCCUUACCCCACACCUAAAAAUCAUUAUGAACCAAGCAAUGUCAGAAUGCAAGAUCCCACAAACCUGGAAGCAAGCUACGAUAACAAUGAUACACAAAGAGAAUUCCCCAGAAACGGAUAUGAAAAGCUAUAGACCCAUUUCCUUAUUGAACGUAGAUUACAAAUUAUUCGCAAGUAUAUUGGCUAACAGACUAAAAGAGUUCUUAAAAACCUGGAUAAAAGAAGAACAAUCAGGAUUUCUACCCCACCGAAAAAUAAGUGAUAAUAUCAGAAUGAUUUUAGACUUAAUCGAAUAUUAUGAAGAGGAAAAACAGAAAGAGGUGUUAUUUCUGUCGCUAGACAUAGAAAAAGCAUUUGACAGUGUAAAUUGGCUCUUCUUCAAAAAAUUGCUAAGAAGAUUGGACAUCGGAGCACAAAUGCAAAACGCAAUAGAAACAAUUUACAACUUCCAGGAAGCUAAAAUAUUAAUAAAUGGAAUGGAGUCAGAGAGAAUAGAGAUCCAGAGAGGGACAAGACAAGGAUGCCCUCUAUCACCUCUUCUCUUUAUAUCGGCUAUGGAAAUACUCUUAAACUACAUCAGGGAAGACGAAACCCUAAAGGGGGCGGAAAUUCAUGGAUACAAAUAUAAGUGCAGGGCUUUUGCAGACGACAUGAUGUGUAUCAUUGAAGAUCCGAUGGAUACCACAGAGAAAUGGAUAGGAAAGGUGAAGAAAUAUGGCGAAAUAUCAGGUCUCAAAAUAAAUCUAGGGAAAACCCAAGCAAUGACAAAAAAUAUGUCAGAAGACAGACAAAGAAAUCUAUCAGGGAAAACAGGUUUAAAAACAACAUCCAAGAUGAAAUAUUUGGGAAUCAUUAUAUCAACAAAGAAUAGCCAUCUAAUAAAAUACAACUACGAUUUCAAAUGGAAAGAAAUUAAGAAAGAUCUAAACAGUUGGAACAAUCAAGGUUUAUCAUUAUUAGGAAGGAUAGCGGCAAUAAAGACGUAUAUCCUCCCAAGGAUGCUGUUUUUAUUCCAAAACUUACCAAUCAUUAGGACUCAAAAACCCUUUCAAGAAUGGCAAAAAGACCUAUCAAAAUUUAUAUGGCAAGGACGCAAACCGAGGAUAAAAAUUAAGAAUCUUGAAGAUGAUAAAACCAGAGGAGGAUUGAAUCUUCCAAAUCUACGUCUAUAUUACGAAUCCUGCGUUUUAAUAUGGAUAAGAGAUUGGUUGCUCUUAAAAAAUAAGAAAACUCUAAACUUGGAAGGCUUUAACCUUAAAUAUAGUUGGCAUAUACACACGUGGGGCACACCAGACAAAAAAGAAGUAAGAACCUUCAAAAACCAUAUAAUAAGAGACUCAUUAAAUAAGACAUGGACAAAAUAUAAAAACAGGAUGUUCCCCAAAACCCCAAUGUGGUUAGCACCUCUGGAAAUAAUUUUGAAGGACCACCGAGGAAAUCCGAAUUGGCCAACUUAUAAGGACAUAGUUGUAAGACAGGAUAAUGAUCUUUUUUUAAGAACACAAGAAGAAAUACAAAAACUAUUCCCGUAUAUAACAUGGCUACAUUACAGACAAAUAAAAGAGCAAUUUAAUACAGACAAGCAGAAAGGUUUUAUGAGUAUGGAUUCAGAUUGGGAAAGAAUAAUGAGCUCGGAAAACAAGUUAAUUACAAAAAUAUAUAAAAAAUUACUGGAAUGGGAUACUGAAACGGAACACGUAAAGACAUGCAUGACCCAGUGGGCAAAGGAUAUUGGGAGACCAAUACUAUAUGAAGAAUGGGAAAAGUUUUGGGAAAAGAAUAUAAAACUUAAUUAUGCCUCGGAUCUAAGAGAAAAUCAGUACAAAAUGAUGUAUAGAUGUUACAUAACCCCGGAAAAAUUAGGUCACUACAAGAAAGAUAAUCGAACAAAGUGCUGGAAAUGUCAGGAGAAAGUGGGAAAUUUUUUCCAUAUGUGGUGGGCGUGCACAAAGACGAAAAAAUACUGGACAGAAAUACACAAAGAAUCCCGAAAAAUAUUGAAAAAAGACCUACCAUUUAGACCAGAAUUAUAUUUGCUAGGGGUGACAAACACGAAAUUAGGAAAAAAUGAGGAAAAGAUCUUAAAUUAUUUAGUAACGGGGGCCAGAAUUGUCUUCGCAAGAAUCUGGAGAUCAAACCAAAUACCUACAUUAGACCAAUGGCUAAUAAAGACAUGGGACAUAAAGAACAUGGACAAGCUGACAUUCCUAAUGAAGAAACAACAAGGAAACCCAAUGAAAGAAACGGACUGGUCGAAUUUUGAGGAAUACAUAAGACAAAGAAUGACUGCACCAGAGGUUAGGAUAUAGUGACCAAAGUAUAAGGAAGAGAAUAAAGAAAACAUCCAGAAAGAAAUUAGGACAUUCAAGACAAGAGGAUCGGAUACCUGCCGACCAACAAUGCAGAGUUCAACAAAUGAAGAUUACUCACUCCCAAAUUAUAUCAUCUCACUCCCUCUACCUACCCUUCCCCCUCUCCCCCCUCCUUUUACCUUGCAUGAAGUGCCCCCCCACAAACCCCCCCUCCUAUCAACCCUCUUUCCUUCUCCUCAUCCCCAACCGUGAUUUCCCCCAGGUUUUUUAAAAGCAUUGUAUUAAAAACAAUCAAUAAAAAUUAUAUAUAUAAAUAAUGCUGUACUUACUUGGUUUUAUCUUGUUUUUAAUUAUGUUGGUGCUAAUCCAUGAAAUAUGUAGUAUUUGAAGGGCAUAUCUUGACAUCGAUAUUUGCAGCAUUUUAAUGUUUUAAUUAUUUAUAUAGGGUUUUAAUGGCAUGUUUUAUAUUGUAUUUGAUGGUCUGGCUUUUGUGUAUUUGUUUGUUUGUCUUGGAUGCGAAAGACCUAUGGUCUAAGCCAGGGGUCCCCAAACUUUUGGAGCAGAGGGCCGGUCCACAAUCCUUCAGACUGUUGAGGGGCCGAAUUAUCAUUUGAUAAAAAAUACAAACAAAUUUCUAUGCAUACUGCACAUGUCUUAUUUGUAGUGCAACAACAACAACAAUGAAAGAACAAUACAAAUACAAUAUUUAAAAAUGAAAACAAUUUUAACCAACAUAAACUUAUUAGGAUUUCAAUGGAAAGUGUGGGCCUGCUACUAGCCAAUGAGAUAGUCAAGUUAAUUAGGAUUGUUGUUGUUGUUGUUGCUGUGUGCCUUCAAGUCAUGUCAGACUUUGGCCGAGCCUAAGUCUAAAAUUAAUUAUUUAUUUACUGCAAUUAUUUACUACAUUUAUAUCCCACCCUUCUCACCCUGAAGGGGACUCAGAGCAGCUGUAUGUACAUACAAUAUAUUAUAUUAUUAGCAUAACACAAUAUUAGCAUUGUAUAUUACUAUAUUGAACUAUACCACUAUACUAUUAUAUAAUAUCUAAUAUAUAACAUAUAAUUAAUAUUAUUAUAUGGUAUUACUAUUAGUAUUAUAUUGUAUAACAUAAGAUUAUUAUCAAUAUUAUAUGUAUAUACAAUAUAUUAUAUUAUUACAACUGAUAUAAAAAUAUAUUAUAAAACUGAGGGUGGGGGCCAGGUAAAUGACCUUGGAGGGCCGCAUCCGGCCCCUGGGCCUUAGUUUGGGGACCCCUGGUCUAAGCAUUAAAUAAAUUUGAAUUUGAAUUUGAACUACAGUAUAAUUAUAACACAAACUAUUGUUUCUCAGAUUGGUGCCUUCCAGGUAUAUAGGUCUCCAAUUCCCAUCAUUCACAAGCAUUUGCCUUUUAGUGGCUAGAAGUGUGGAUCUUCUUGUUUAACUAAUGUGGAAAUUGACAACUUGGGGAAGGCUGACAUGAAUGAUAUGGUAUGUGAAUACAAACUGUUUUAUAAAUCUAAACAAAUAUAGCCACAAUUCACUUUAAAUUCUUCAAUAAAAUGUAUCAAUAUUAUUUUUCCAGCACAGCAGACUUCUAGUAUCUUAAUAGCAUCCAGAAAAUUGUUACCAAAGAAUUGGGUAGGCAGUUUUGAAAGCAAUAUGUGCAACUUGGCCUGCUUCUUAUUCUGAUUCUUAAUUCUGAUUCUUUUUUGUGGGUUGUUAGGCCACAGUUCUGCAGUAGUAACAGAAGCUGCAACUGGCAGAAUCGGCCCUACUCUGUAAUCCUUAAAAUCCAAGGUCUCCAUGAUUGAGUCAUGCUCUUCAGCAUCUCAUAUAUCCAUGGCUUACCCAUUACCUUCCAUCUAUCCUUAGGGCUUGUUGCCAUGUGCCAAAAAGCUAUACUCAUAACAAAUGAACCACUGGCUAUCUUUGCAAUGCACAGCAGUUUCUGAUGAUUAAUCAUAGGCUAUCACUCAUAGUCGAGUACAAUUGUCUUUCAAGGGUAGUCUUGGAGGUGGGUCUGUAGGUGACUGUAUUCUGGAUCCUCAUGGUCUUUCAUGGUCUGGGCAGUCAAGACAGCUGGAUUUGGCCAGGUGUUCUGUUCUGAUGGACACAACCACCGCCACCCCUUACGUGUGAUGAUUAGAGCAGGAAAAGGGGAUGGCUUAUGCCCAUGUCACUGCCACUCCUAAUCAGCCAUGGAGCUUUGCCCUAGCACCUGGCCACUACCUGUUGCAUUGUGAUAUCAGAAUGUGACAUCAACUCAAUCAGCAAGAGAGAGGAGAGACCAGUUGUCUUUUUACUGUUUACAUGGGUGCCCCAUUUUGGCAUCAGCAGAGGUAGGGCAGUCAUGUGUUUUAAUGAAACUCCAUAGCUGAUUGGGAGCGGCAGAAAUGGUGACAUAGAAGAAAUGACAGUAAAGCAGGGCCAAUGCAGUUGUGAGUCAUCUGGAAAAUGGCCUCAGAUUCAACCCAUACAUGCUGGACCUGGGGCUGCUCUGGCUCAGAUUUAUACCAUAGCUCAUUAGUUUUUCAUGCUCCCAGUAUCAUCUACUUAUCCUCCAUGUUUUAUCCCACCAUAGUUUCCUAUUGACUUUUUACUACUCCUUUUUUCAUUCUGACCUUAUCUCCCAGUUCUGAACUUCCUUCUAAAUCUAGAGAGUAUGACUUAAAAAAAUCUCCAGCAGAAUUUAAGAUAUCCCAGAUUCUGUAGAAGGCAGACUGCAAAUAUUUGCAGCUUUAUUCUCCAAGCAACUGAACAGUUCAUUAUCAUCUGUGCCAUCUAGGAUGAGCCCUAUCACUGGGUUAGAUGAGGCAGCUGAUUCUGGCAGCAGAUGGCAGAGGACAGGUAUAGCAGAGGGAUAUAGUGUUAGAGCAUAGAACUGCGUGUGACUUCUGAUCUGCCUGACACUCCCUAAGCAGCCUGUUACUGUCAGAUAAAUUGGUAAACAUUUUCACAUGGGCAGUGUUGAUUCAGUAUCAAAUUUGGAUGACUUCUGAAAAUGUCAGAAAGGACACUCAGUUUGCCUUGGGCAGUUAAAUGUUUUAGGCCCUGGUCCCAUCAAAGCAAUCUUAUACUUCACUUUUAACACUACAUAGUUAUAAUGCUAUGAUUCCAUUUUAGUUAUCAUGGUCCCUGAGUAAUUGUGGGAUUUUCAAGUUGAGGAACUGUAUUUGCAAUUUUCAUACAGAGCAAUAAUUCCUCAUCAGACUAUGAUUCCCAGGAUUCCACAGAAUGUAGCCAUGACAGUUAAAGGGGAAUUGGUGCUAUAAAUCUAUAGUAUGGAAAGGCCUCUAGAGAGUCCAAUGUCCUAUGCCUGUUCUGAACAAAGAUGCAAGUGACCAUUAUUGCUUCUUGAGGAGGCAGAAAAAAUAGGUCUUUGUCUACUUGUUAAGCCCAUUCAUCAUCAGUGUUUCUAUGAGUGAUAUUCAUACUAAGGGCGAAACUGCAUGUUACAGUAAUACCAUAUUUUGAGGAAAGGCAGUUUGCCAAACUACAAUAGGAUUUCACAAAAUUGGUUCAACGUUUCACUUGAUAUAAAUCAGCCUGAAAGUUGUAAAGGAGGUGUAAACCUUUGAGUUAAUCUGGUGUAGGUGAGCACUGGCUCUUAUCAAGUUUUUGUUUGUUGCAAUUAUCUUUGAAGGCAGUGCUAUUUCCAACCAAAUGAUGUUGUCAGCAGACAUCAAACACUAAGCACCAAAUGAUUGGAAACUAACAGAGUUUGAAAUGGGAAAAGGUUCACUGGAGGUGCAUGAAAUUCCAAGUCAGUUAUCUAUGCUUCAAAAUGCGUUUUUUAUGGUGUCCUUCAUAACAAUGAAUGUUCUUUGAUGACUACCAGAAGGGUAUGCGCAGCAUGAUUCUGAAAGCCUGGAUUUUCCAUAUAAGACUUUGAGAAAGUAAAGGAUAUAAGAAUUAAAUGCAUACUGGAAUGGCUGUCAUUGUGUACCUCCUGCUCCAUCUUUCCUUUUUAUGUUGCUUCAUUAAUUAAAAAGCCAAAGAAACAAAGCACUGAGGAUUGUAUAAAGAAAAUAUUUCAUCUUGCAGCAAGAUACUUUUCUGUAACUAAUGAAGCUGAAAUGUUAUUGCCCAUCCAUUAUUGCCUUUUGCCAUUAUAUCGCCAAGGAGUUGCCAUUACUCUGCAUUGAAAUACCUCAGAACUAUCUUAACUGACAAUGUAAUGCCUGAAACAGAAUGUUCUUAACCAAGGACCCAUGGAAAGAUUUCAGGUGGUCCAUGCGCUUGAUUUGGGGGGAAAAUCAACUUACUGUAUUAUCUUUCUUGUCUCUAAUCUCUAAAAGAAACACAGCAUUUUCUUUACUUAUGAAUGUCUGCAAUACACUACAGUAAUAUUUCAUAUCGCAUUACAGUUGUUGCAUAUCUCAAAUGAUUUCUUACUCUCAUCCAUGCUUCGAAGUUAUGCCAGUUGGGGUAUUGUGUAGUUUCUGGGCUGUCAGCAUGUUUUGUCUGCAUGUGUUGCUGGCAUCUUGAUCCUCUGAAUAUGUCAGCCACAGAUGCAAGCAAAAUGGCCGUACAGCUCAAAAACCACAUAACAUCCUGGUGAUUCCAGCCAUGAAAGCUUUUGACUAUACGAUAUGGUAGUUGUUGGAUCUGAUGCUAGAUCACACGUGAUCACAGUCCUGCUAUAUGCAAACUAUUGUGAGAUGUAGUUGACCAACUAUAUGGCAACACAGAAUUGAUAAAAAACAAAAGAUCUCCUGAGUGGUCUUUGAUCUUUUGAUGUAUAGAGGUGGCAUUGUGUAAUGACAAAUCAGAGGGUGAAAAAAGUUAUAGAAGUUGAAAAUUUCACUCCACAGAGUUAUAAUCGAUGUAACCAUAACAAAAAACAUACAAAGCAAAAAAAAUAGCUUCAUGAAAUGAAACAUUGUGGGAAAGUUGUCAAAUGUAAUUUUGAAUAAAUCUAAAAUUUAAUUUAAAGAUAUUCCAAUGUUGAAUGCAUAAAACUACCUACCACUACAUUCCAGAGUCUGUAGUUUUCACCUGACUGGCAAACAGGUCCAUGGAACAAAACAGAUUAAGAACCCUUGAUCUAACAUGUUUAUCAUUUUUCUCUUAUGUGAUUUUGAAGAUUUUUGUUUAAUGAAGAAACCAGUGAAGUUUUGAAAGUUUACAUGGUGCAUUUUCUUCAUUUUGCUUCUUUUGUGAAUUUUGUAUUUAAUAGUAUCUUGCAGGAGGAGUGUCACACAUACUAUAGUUAACAUUGCAGUAGCAGAUAGUCAUGAUAUAGGAGGUAAAGUAAUGGAAUACAACCCAUUUUUAAAUGCAGCAUUCAUUAAGCAUGCAGCCAAUUUGUUGCAUUGAUUGUUUCCAACUUGCAUCAUGGGUACAGUUUUGACUCACAUGCUAAAUCCAUUCUAGGUCAAAUUGGUUCAUGCUGUUGAAUGACAAGAUGUUAUUUUGCAUCAUUAUUUGGCACAGACUUAGAUAACAAGGUCAGCCUUACUCCACCAGCCACAAGCAUCAUUUAGUUCAAUUGUACGAUAUUUCACACUAUUGUUGAAAUCUACUAUUCAGAGUCUGUUAGCUAAAAUUCCCUAAUGGGUCUUCCAGUUCUAUGGUAUUUGGCAGAUGUCAAAACAAUGCAAUUCCCAGUGCUUUGCAUGCCAAGAUUUUAGUCAAAUGCAGCAUAUUAUUAAAGAGUGUUAGCAAAUGAUGGAUAUGAAAAGUAUGUUCUGGAAUCCUGGAAGUAUUGAGGAGCUCCAGCUUCUUUUAAUUAUGGUUUAGUAUUAGUCUGUUUUCUAUUUACAUUAUAUUUUGUGCUUUAUUUCUAAGUAAGCAAGGAAUGAUCUUUGGCUGUCUUAUCAAGGGUUUCUGUACUCAAAAUAAAUAGUCACCAGAACAAAUACAGUAUUAGGACUAUUUUGUCAGUAUAUUUUUCCUAUGGCUUCCUAAAUAAAUAAAAUGAUACAUUAAAUAGUAAAAUAUUAAAUAUUAAGCAUAAUAUAAGCAUAAUAGAUUUAAUAUACAACACUAAAUAAACAAUAGACUAAAGUGGUACAUGCAGCCAUAUGAUUCUUGACAUAACUUGUUUUGAAACUGACGGAGAGAGUGAUAUAAAAAUUCAAGCACAUAUUAAAAAGUAUAAUGCCCACUUACUUACACCUUGCUAGAUUCAAUAUGCAGCAGAAUUGUAUCAUAAUAAAUGGACCUGCUGAAAACUCUAUUUUAAUAGCUAAUUUUUUUUCUUCCACUAAAUGCAAAGCUGUGAUGACAGCUCUGUCUCAUACUGAAUCUACUUUAGAUACCCCUGACAUAAUGUCAUACAAUAAAAAGAGGAAUGCUAGUAUCCAUCAGCAUAUUCUUUUUUAUCUCUUUAUUAUGCAACUGACAGUUCACUAUACUUUGGACCUAUUCAUGAGAUUUUCUCUGUCAUGAUAGCUCCUCUUCCACGCAUUGACUUUCAGCCAUAGGGCUGAAUGUUGAAAUGGCAAUUUAUGUGAACACUGCUUCCAUAUAUUGAAAAACUUUUUCUAUAGCAGCAGCUAAAAAGGCAGUGUAUGCAAAAUUCAAUGCAUGGUGCUAGCUUUCAUACAUCCAUCUCAGUACACAGCACAGAUGGCUAGAAGUCAGUGUAAUCACACAAAGAAGACUGUGAGAUAGGGCCUUAGCAUUGUCAGUAUACUUUGAGGCAAGCAAAACCCCUUUAUAGGGAGCAGAAUAGUAGACAGUCAUGAUAUGCAGAAAUUGACUUAAACCUUUUAAUGAAGGAUUCAUAGCCCAAAGUACAGAACCCUUUCAGUUAUACAUUCCACAAACAGUGCAAAAUAUAAAAGGGUGUGACUGCCAUUCUGGCCAGAUAUUACAUGGACUUUUAAGCAAGUAAGCAUUUAUAUCAGAAUAAACAAUUGCACAUAAAACUAUGGGAAAGAGAGUAACUGGGUCAGAAGAAAGGUCUAUCAAGUCCAGUCUUUCUUUCACGCAGUGGCCAACAAGUUGCCUAUGACAAGUGCACAACCUGAGUGCAGCUGUCUCACAUUCCAUUCUUUUCAGCAACUGAUAUAAAGACAUUUUACUGUGGGCUCUUCCAGACAUGACUAAAUCCCAGGAGGAACUGGGAUAUUGUAUCCCAGUUUGCCCUGGGAUUUAAUCCCAAUCCCCGCCCCAAACCAUGGGCUUUCCCUGAGGGGGUAGCUACAUACCCUUCUGGGUCAAACAGAUGUGCCAGGAACCCACGAUGGUUUAGGGGCCAAAUGGUGGGCUGAGAGAAGAGGGUGGAAGUGCUAUCCUGAUCGUUCAGGCUCUGAGAGCCUGAAGAUGUGGGAUCACUGUGGGGACUGACCCCCAGGAUUGCAGAAGUGGUCCCAGGAGUCAAUCCCAAUAGGGCCCACACCAGGAAAGAUCUGGACCAUACUAUAAGGUCCAGAUCUUUCCAGGUGUUUAAUUAAUCCAGAGUAAACUGGGAAAACCUAGUUUACUCUGGACUAAUUCAGGUUUACCUGAGACAUCGUUUGGAUGAUUUUAAGGGCAUUAUAAUUUUUAUUAAGUCCAACUAAAUCAGUUCAUCACAGGAGCACUCAACACUAAAAUAUUUUGGUUACAGAUUCUAGUUGUGUCUUUUUUAAUGCCAUGAUAAGACUAACAAUUCUAGAUCUGUACCAUUAUUUAAGAGAGUGCUUGGGAAGACACAAUUUAGUAGUUGUAUUUUCUUAAUAUAUUCUCGAUCCUAUGGCUUUUGAACCAGUAGAUAGUCAAAUAUAUAAUAAAUGAGGUUUAAUUUCUUUACUUCGGCAAUAACAAAGCACAAGUUGUAUGGACUUUUGGACAGUCUGUCCUCCAGGGCAACAGAUGGCAUCCUUUGGAAUUUUGCCAAUGUGAGUUUGCUUCUCCAUUGGAAUUUAUCAAACUUAGAUAAUAUUCCCCUAGGCUUGAUUUUUAAUCAAGUGGGUUAUAGUAGGGAGCGAUCUUGAUAUACAUAAACAAUCUAUAUAUAUAAAAGAGUGAUGGCAUCAGGGCAGCGGACAAAACAACAAAACUACAGGCCCCCCAACCUCGAAAUUUGACAACACAACCCAUCAUCCACGCCUCAAGGUUGUUACAACAAAAAGAAAAGAAAAAUAAAGUCCUAAUUAGAGGGAGAGCAAUAAUUUUUUUAAGCCAAUUGCUGCCAGUUUAGAGGGCUAAUCUCUGCCCACUUGGUCUCCUAGCAACCAACUCAGCCAAGGGACAGCCAGGGUUCAGUUAGGGGACAGGCAGAUUUAGGCCUUACUUAGGCUUCUUCCACAGAUUAUCUAAUUUGCACUGGAUUAUAUGGCAGUGUAGACUCAAGGCCCUUCCACACAGCUAUAUAACCCAUUUAUAAUCUUAUAUUAUCUGCUUUGCACUGGAUUAUCUUGACUCCACACUGCCAUAUAAUCCACUUCAGUGUGCAUUUUAUACAGCUGUGAAGAAGGGGCCUCAUAUAAUCCAGUUCUGAGCAGAUAAUAUAAGAUUAGAAAUAUACAGUAGAGUCUCACUUAUCCAACGUAAACAGGCCGGCAGGAUAAGUGAAUAUGUUGGAUAAUAAGAAGGGAUUCAGGAAAAACCAAUUAAACAUCAAAUUAGGUAAUCGUUAUACAAAUUAAGCACCAAAACAUCAUAUUAUACAACAAAUUUGACAGAAAAAGUAGUUCCGUGUGCAGUAAUGCUAUGUAGUAUUUACAGUAGAGUCUCACUUAUCCAACACUCGCUUAUCCAACAUUCUGGAUUAUCCAACGCAUUUUUGUAGUCAAUGCUUUCAAUAUAUGGUGAUAUUUUGGUGCUAAAUUCAUAAAUACAGUAAUUACUUUAUAGCAUUACUGUGUACUGAACUACUUUAUCUGACAAAUUUGUUGUCUAACAUGAAGUUUUGGUGCUUAAUUUGUAAAAUCAUAACUUAAUUUGAUGUUUAAUAGGGUUAUCCUUAAUUCCUCAUUAUCCAACAUAUUCGCUUAUCCAACGUUCUGCCGGCCCGUUUAUGUUGGAUAAGUGAGACUCUACUGUACUGUAUUUACAAAUUUACCACUAAAAUAUCACAAUGAAUUUAAAACACUGACUACAAAAACAUUGAUUAUGAAAAGGCAGACUGCGUUGGAUAAUCCAGAACAUUGUAUAAGCGAAUGUUGGAUAAGUGAGAUUCUUCUUUAAUAUGAAAUAAUUACUGGGAUAGAAUAAUGCAGAACAAUAUAAUCUCUAAAACCAGGACAGUAAAUAAACAGGGGAAUUCCACACAGGAAACAAUCGGGGCCAGCUAACACCUCCCAACAAAGUAUUCCCAUCAUCAAAGUCUGGCAAAUCCUCUGUUUUCUCAGGGCCACAGACAGUAGAAGCACAUAAAAUAUCACAAACAACACCACUCUGAAAACAAGGGAAUUCCAGACAGGAAACAAUCAGGGCCAGCUAACAUCUCCCAACAAAAAAUUCACUCAGGGAGGAAACAGCCAGGCUUUAAAGCUGCAAGGCCAUUACACCCUAAUCAUUUUUCCUAAUUGCAGCAUUCAUACUUGCCUCCAACAAACAAAAAAAACCCCAAUCAGAAAUAUUGUAUAUUCACAACCUUUAGGAAAUAAUAUCCCCUGAUGGCGCAGCAUGUUAAAGCGCUGAGCUGCUGAACUUCUGGACCGAAAGGCCGCAGGUUUGAAUUGGGGGAGUGGAGAGAGCCCACACUGUUAGCCCCAGCUUCUGCCAACCCAGAAGUUCGAAAACAUGCAAAUGUAAGUGCUCUGGCGGGAAGGUAACACCGCUCCAUGUAGUCAUCCCACAUGACCUUGGAGGAGUCUACGGACAACGCCGGCUCUUCGGCUUAAAAAUGGAGAUGAGCACCAACCCCCAGAGUCAGACAUGACUGGACUUAAUGUCAGGGGAAAACCUUUACUCUUUACCUUAACUACCACCAAUUCCUCAAUACUUUAUUUCCCAUACCACCAGACUUCGCCACAGCAACGCGUGGCCGGGCACAGCUAGUGUUGUAUAAUUUUGAGAUAAAAUUUAUUGCAUGCAUACACACAGAAUUUAAAAAGGGGGUUUCAAAAAAUCAGAUGCCACAGUAAGAUGCAAUAUAUUGAAUUAUACCUUUGCUGUUGUAUGUUUACAGUAGCACUCUUGAGUUACACUUUUAUUAGGUGUCUGCCUGAAACUUUAUACACUAUGGAGAAGUGGUGUUGAUGUUUUGCUGUCCAUAGACCACUCUUUUCCUAACCUAAAUAUAACGCGAUUUCCCGAAAAUAAGACAGUGUUUUAUAUUAGUUUUUGCUCCCAAAUAUGCGUUAGGUCUUAUUUUCAGGGGAUGUCUUUUUUUCCAUGAAGACGAAUUCACAUCUAUUGUUGAACAAAAAAAAACAAAAAACCAAAACAUUUAUUAUAUACUGUACAGUAGUUGUCAUCACAAACCAGCAUAACCAGACAAACUGUGAAUCCUAGCAAGGAUUUCUUGUUACUACCAUUAUUUCCAUGUACUGUACAACAAUCUGUGGUACCUACAUUGACCAAUCCUGCAUGCUCAGGUGUUCUGUUUGGCCGGCAUGCUUCCAAACAAAAACUUUGCUAGGUCUUACUUUCAGGAGAGGACAUAUAUUAAGCAAUUCAGCAAAAUCUCAACUAGGUCUUAUUUUCAGGGGAUGUCUUAUUUUCAGGGAAACAGGGUAUUGUUUAAUAUACAAUAGAUUUGCCUAUUAUUCAAAGAGCUUUGAAUACCAUAGAAUCACUUUGGAAGACCCAGAAAAUGUCUAGAGAAGAGUUUUCUCUAGACCUCAUAUGCAUUUCAAUGGUCAUAUUAAUUGAGCUUUUGCACAAUUAAAACUUGUGCGCUAGUUGCACCUAUACCUUGAGAAGUCUGACUUGGCCAGGGUAGUCUAUGCUUGGGUUAUAUCUCAAAUAGAUUACUGCAAUGCGCUCUACAUGGAGCUACCUUUAAGACUGUUUGGGAGCUGCAACUGGUCCAAUGAGCGGCAGCCAGAUUGAUCACUGGAGCUGCGUACAGGGAGCAUAGAACUCGCCUGUUGCUCCAGCUUCACUGGCUGCUAAUUUGCUACUGAGCACAAUUCAAAGUGUUGGCUUUAGCCUAUAAAGUCCUAAAUGGUUCUGGCCCUGCUUACUUGUCCGAACAUAUCUCCCUCUAUGAACCAUCUUGGAGUGUAAGAUCAUCUGGAGAUGCCCUGCUCUCAGUUCCGCCUUCUUUGCAGGUGCAAUUGGCAAAGACGAGAGACAGUGCCUUUCCGUUAGUGGCCCCUUGGCUAUGGGACUCCCUCCCCAGAGAGAUUAGAUCAGCUCCCUCCUUCCUGAUCUUCUGCAAAAAAGUGAAAACAUGGCUCUUUGAUCAAGCUUUCAAAAAUCUAGUGCAAUAAUUAGAUACGAAAGAUGUAUAAUUGACUUAUGGAAUGGCUCCAAAUUAUGCCUAUGGAUCAUGUGAUUUAACUUGUUGUAUGGAUUCAAAUGCUUUUAAUUGUUUUAAUGAUGCGGUUGUUUUUAUUGUACUAUGUUUUUAAAGGCAUUGCCUAUGUUGUAAAGCCUCCUUGAGUCCCCUCCAGGGUUGAGAAAGGCGGGAUAAAAGAGCUACAAAUAAAUACAUAAAUAAACAAACAAACAAAUAAAUAAAUAAUAUUCUGCUGAAAGUGACUCUAGAAUCACACUGGAGGCUUAGAGAGAAAACUUCCCUAGGCAUUUUCUACGUCCUCCAGAACAAAUCUAUGGCAUUUAUUGGCCCAAGACAUUGUUCAUUUCUGGUAAGAAAAAUAAGGUUCCAGAUUAUUCAAAAAUCGUAUUAUAUAAAAAGUCCUGGAAUUAACACUUGUGUAAUAAAUAGGCAUAGUGUACUUAGACUGAUAUUAAGUACUUACUAUUUAAUAUUUACUGGCUUUUAUAGAAAAGGCACAUAUAUGUAGAUGGUAAGAUCCCAUUUGUGCACAAAGACACAUGUAUCUCUUUACAGCAUUACAUCCGCAUAAACUAUGAAGCCAUCUGAGGCAAGAUAACAUCCCUCUCAUUCAACUAGUUUAUGCAAUUGCCUGAAGUAGUUUAGACACAGCUGCAACUUAGAAGCUUCUCCACUUAGUCUAUGGAAGAAUGCUUGGUAUUUAUGGUAGUAAAGUGCAGCUGCUGUGAACUUAUGGUUAUUUAACAGGGAUACCUAUUGAAAGUUGAUAAGCAAAAACAAAAAUAUUGCAUUUGUUAUUUCAGAAAAUAUGUUAAAAAUAGUGGGUAGUCCAUAAGAUGUUUAUUAAAGUUCUUAAAAGUGUGUUUGAAAUUUGACAUACAUGACCAUUAUAAAUACUCAAAGCAAGUUAGGAGACAAAGCUCCAAGUGCUAGUAGAUGGUCACUUGCUUUUUUUUUUAAAGCCCAAUAUCUAUUGGGGUUUUGGCCAUUGUUGGAGUUGGCCUUUCUCAGAGUUAUACCUCACAGAAAUUUAUGGAGUUGUAUAAUACAUGCUCCAAAGUAAUGGAUCAUAAGCAAAGAGAGCAAUAGUUGUACAAUAGUUAUUGGGACUCCACAUAACCUUUAUCUAUGAAAUAAGAAAUAACCUUCACUGAAAAGAAGGAAGUAAAUUCUGUGUAACUAUGCAUGUUGAGAAAAGUCUAUAAAAGACAAGAGAAUUAAACAACAGGAAGUUUGUCCCUGUCUAUUGCCAUGCCAUUUGUUGAAGUUACAGCAUUAGCUAGUUACCAGCAAUGGGAUAAUGAUAUCUGUAUUGGAAUGAUAUCUCUGAUGUCUUAAAUCCUUUUUUGGGGAACAUUAUAUUUAGUGACAGAAUAAGAAUGGCUAUACUUUAGGUGACAUUGGCACUUUGGUUUCUGAGCAGAGUAAUAUGCCAGUUUAGCACUAGGUCAUCCACAGAGCCAGCCAGGUCCCAUCAAAUGACGCCGGUGGGGCUCCGUGGAUUAUCUAGGGUGGAGCUGGCACAUGCCACCUGCGCAGCAACGUGGGAGGCUUCCCAUGUUUCCAUAGGAAGCAACAGGAGAAAGCCAUGUGAUUGACGCUUCUCCGUCCACAUUGGAACAGCUGAUUCAGGAGCCGGGCGAUGCGGGGCAUAGGGUGGCAGGUUCCUCAUGCCCCCGACGGCGGUCAUUGGAUUUUGCCACGACACAUGGUGAUUCCGGCAGCCAUGUGAUAAGGUGGUAAGUCAGAAUUAGCCCACCACAAUGGGGACGGAAGCCAGUAUGGAGCAUAUUUAGCUAAAAUCACAAUAACAUUCCAACUUUUCUUGAUUUUUCACCUUUUACUUUGUGGAUGUCAUGGAAAUCAUAGUAUAAUCUUAUAGCUUGUUUGGAGACAUUCAGGAGAUGCUUUUAAAAAUUUUAACAGUGAUUUUAUCAUCUCCCAAAAUUACCAUUUCUUGAGAAAUGCAAAGGCUUUGGGGACUGUAUGCGCAUCUCUCCUACCCCUUUCAGUCAGUCAUAUUGUCAAGUGUACCAGCUAUUCCUCAUCUCUGUAUAGGCUCAGGGAUAUGGUUUCUGGUAAGGGUUGAUUGAAGUCCCCUCAUUAUGGGUUUUCUCUGCCUUGUUUCUUGACCCCUGUUCAGUGAGGGAGAUAUAUAGGUGCAUCAUAUGCUUAGGCCAUUAUUGCCAUGCAUUUGCAAUUCAGCCUCAAUUAAGCAAGUUGCAUAUAGUGAUCAACAUCUUGCUAGAUCUUACACAAUAAAAAUAGUAAGGUAUUGUUUAAAGGGUUUAAAGGUUUAGUGAUGACAGUGAAUCAAUGAGAAGUGUCAUUAUGACAGCUGAUUGCCAGGACAACUGGGCAUAAUCUGUUAACAGAAAAUCAGGAGUGUGCCGAGGACAAAGCAAAAGAGGGGCAUUCGCUGGGAAGCAGCUGUUAAUGUCAGAAUGGUCCAAAACAGAGUGGGUUUUUUAAGCUUGGUGCUUAGAAAAUGAACCAGAGAGGAGAAGGGCACCUGGGUGCAGGUCAACUUUUAUUCUUUUGCCUUAGCAGAGAGCUCCUGAGCCAAGAAUCUUGUGUUCCUUAUAGAAUUCCGGCAGAAAUCCAACAGCACUUUGUAAAUGAAAAAGGAUAUAUAAAUAGGAACAUAGGAAGCUGCGCUCAGGUUUUCUCCUUCGAGGUCACUAUAGCUAUUGGUUGUAGCUUACCAUGGUUUCAAGCAGGAUUAUUUUUAAACCCUGCCAGGAGAUACCACAAGUCCACCUGGCACCUCUGGCAUGAAAAGCAGGUGUCUGACUCCUAAACUACAGCCCUUUCUCAUUAGAAUGAAACAAUAGCUCUUGUGUUUCCAGGUAAGAAUCAAAGUGGCAAGAAUGUCAGUUGUUUUAGAGCAUUGUCAGAGAAUAUGUCCAUCCCAAUAUUUCCAUUCCAAUUUAGCAAAGGUCCAGUAGUUUCCUUUCCAGCAGUGACUGGAGCCUUGGAAAUGAGGCAGAACCAAAACAUCAUGGAUCUGAAUGUAAAUGUUUCCAGUUUGGCCCAGUGCUACAGUUUUGGGCACCCCAUUACAAAACACAGAGUUCUUUAAACUUGAGCUCUGCAAACUCUGCUAUAUAACUCCAUAUCCCCCUGCAAUACUAUAUCAUAAAACCCCUUCUAUACCUGCUGUGCUAUUGACAAAUACAUCUUUGUAUGAGUGUAUUGUUAUUACUUCAUAGCAAGAUACCAGUGUGUUACUUUAUCACAACAAAAUUGAACAAAACUGUAGGAAAGUUUCCCUGAAAUAAAACAAAACUGUAAAUUUCCUCAGUCAAUGGAAAUUGCCACUCUGCACAGCAAACUUGGAGUUUGACAGUGUAUGAGCUUGGCAUGUGUUAAAAAUCCUCAUAGCGCAGCUUUAAAAAACUGCAAGAUGAGAUUGCAGCUGUUUCUAUAUUUAAAUAAAUAACAGGAGAAAGCACAAAGCAGGGUGUGGGGAAUGGUCUUACAUGAGUGAGUGAAUGCAAUGCACUCUGUCUGUACAAGGAAAGAGUAUGUAUGCUUAGAAUGGUAGAGGAUCUGGGCAUACAUAUAUACAACACAAACACAGAUUUGGCAAAGGGGGUUUAAAAAAUCAGAUGUCACAAUAAGACACAAUUUAUUAGGCACUAUUGCUCCCCAAAUUGUAAUGAUUCCAGUUUGUGUGAGAGUGUUUAUGUUUGUGUUGAAAAAGGAGUAGUUUUCUAUUAUGGCAGUGUUCCUAGUUCUGUAACACUUAUAACACCAGUCUUAUGUUAGUAGUAGAUAACACCACUUUUCUAUUGGGGAAAAUUCCUGCCUAUCUUGGGAGCUCUAUCCUUAUUGGACAGCCUUCUGUCACUCAAUUAAGUUUAUUUUUAUACCUGGACAAAUAGUAUUUUGUGGACACAAACCCACUGUACAAACUGUUCUACUAGCUGUACGUUGCUAGAAUCUAGGAAGCAGAUAUAUGGCUACGAUGGAAGAAUUUUACUAUGGGAAAAAUGGUGAACCAAGGAAAUUUGACCCAAAGUUCAGCGGACCUAUUCACAACAGGCAUUGUACUGAUAUUCUAUGCUGUGUCAUCUUUGUUGUGGUCAUCCUGGGUUAUAUUGCUUUAGGAAUUGUGG